rnacentral:rRNA from 1 species
UGCGUAGGCGGUUUGGCAAGUCUGAUGUGAAAUCUAUGGGCUCAACCCAUAGUCUGCAUCAGAAACUGCCGGGCUUGAGUAUGGGAGAGGUGAGUGGAAUUUCCGGUGUAGCGGUGAAAUGCGUAGAUAUCGGAAGGAACACCUGUGGCGAAAGCGGCUCACUGGACCAUAACUGACGCUGAUGCACGAAAGCUAGGGGAGCAAACAGGAUUAGAUACCCUGGUAGUCCUAGCCCUAAACGAUGAUUGUUUGAUGUGGCAGGUACCCAAUCCUGCCGUGUCGAAGCUAACGCGAUAAACAAUCCGCCUGGGGAGUACGGUCGCAAGGCUGAA